CCUACGGGUGGCAGCAGUGGGGAAUAUUGCACAAUGGGGGAAACCCUGAUGCAGCGACGCCGCGUGAGUGAAGAAGUACUUCGUUAUGUAAAGCUCUAUCAGCAGGGAAGAAAAUGACGGUACCUGAGUAAGAAGCCCCUGCUAACUACGUGCCAGCAGCCGCGGUAAUCCGUAGGGGGCAAGCGUUAUCCGGAUUUACUGGGGUUAAAGGGAGCUUAGGCGGCAGUGCAAGUCUGGAGUGAAAGGCGGGGGCCCAACCCCCGGACUGCUCUGGAAACUGUACGGCUGGAGUGCAGGAGAGGUAAGUGGAAUUCCUGGUGUAGCGGUGAAAUGCGUAGAUAUUAGGAGGAACACCAGUGGCGAAGGCGGCAUACUGGACUGUAACUGACGUUGAGGCUCGAAAGCGUGGGGAGCAAACAGGAUUAGAUACCCCUGUAGUC
rnacentral:rRNA from 1 species